UUGGACAUCAUCAUCAUGGAGCUGUCGCUCAGGGACGCUCCGACGCUAUUGGGCAACGAGACGCUCUGCGGAAGGGGCCUAACCACAGUGGAGUUGUGCGGCCUGUUGCUAGACUGCUGUAACUGAUAUGAAAAAUCAGACAUGGCUCCAAAGCUCCGAAGCAAAAGGCCCUACAAAAGAUUUUCCUGCUACAUCAAUGCCGUUGACCUCGAGGAUCUCGUCAUUAACUCCCAGCAGCCCCGUGCUUUCUGCUAGCCCACCACGUACCAGACGAGAUAUGAAAACCCCGGGGACCUACAG